AAAUCUAUAGAUAUCAGGAAGAACACCGGUUGCGAAGGCGGCCUUCUGGCAGAGGACUGACGCUGAGGUACGAAAGUUAGGGUAGCAAACAGGAUUAGAGACCCUGGUAGUCCUAACCGUAAACGUUGUAUACUAGGUGGUUGAAGUAUUGAUCCUUUGACUGCCGCAGCAAACGCAUUAAGUAUACCGCCUGGGGAGUAUGCCGGCAACGGUGAAACUCAAAGGAAUUGACGGGGCCCCGCACAAGCAGUGGAGCAUGUUGCUUAAUUCGAUGAUACGCGAGUAACCUUACCAGGUCUUGACAUAUACCUGUCUGGUGUAGAAAUACAUCAUUGCUUCGGCACGGGUAUACAGGUGCUGCAUGGUUGUCGUCAGCUCGUGCCGUGAGGUGUUGGGUUAAGUCCCGCAACGAGCGCAACCCUUAUUCUUUGUUGCUAACAGGUUAAGCUGAGCACUCUAAGGAGACUGCCGGUGACAAACCGGAGGAAGGUGGGGACGACGUCAAAUCAUCACGGCCCUUAUGACCUGGGCUGCAAACGUGCUACAAUGGGUGGUACAAAGAGUUGCGAGACCGCGAGGUGGAGCUAAUCUCAAAAAACUAUCCUCAGUUCGGAUUGGAGUCUGAACCCGACUCUAUGAAGUUGGAUUGCUAGUAAUCGCACAUCAUCAUGGGCGGUGAUACGUCCCGGGCUGUACACACCGCCCGUCACAUCACCCGAGUUGAUAUACCCGA
rnacentral:rRNA from 1 species